rnacentral:rRNA from 1 species
GGUUAAGCGACUAAGCGUACACGGUGGAUGCCCUGGCAGUCAGAGGCGAUGAAGGACGUGCUAAUCUGCGAUAAGCGUCGGUAAGGUGAUAUGAACCGUUAUAACCGGCGAUUUCCGAAUGGGGAAACCCAGUGUGUUUCGACACACUAUCAUUAACUGAAUCCAUAGGUUAAUGAGGCGAACCGGGGGAACUGAAACAUCUAAGUACCCCGAGGAAAAGAAAUCAACCGAGAUUCCCCCAGUAGCGGCGAGCGAACGGGGAGCAGCCCAGAGCCUGAAUCAGUGUGUGUGUUAGUGGAAGCGUCUGGAAAGGCGCGCGAUACAGGGUGACAGCCCCGUACACAAAAAUGCACAUGCUGUGAGCUCGAUGAGUAGGGCGGGACACGUGGUAUCCUGUCUGAAUAUGGGGGGACCAUCCUCCAAGGCUAAAUACUCCUGACUGACCGAUAGUGAACCAGUACCGUGAGGGAAAGGCGAAAAGAACCCCGGCGAGGGGAGUGAAAAAGAACCUGAAACCGUGUACGUACAAGCAGUGGGAGCACGCUUAGGCGUGUGACUGCGUACCUUUUGUAUAAUGGGUCAGCGACUUAUAUUCUGUAGCAAGGUUAACCGAAUAGGGGAGCCGAAGGGAAACCGAGUCUUAACUGGGCGUUAAGUUGCAGGGUAUAGACCCGAAACCCGGUGAUCUAGCCAUGGGCAGGUUGAAGGUUGGGUAACACUAACUGGAGGACCGAACCGACUAAUGUUGAAAAAUUAGCGGAUGACUUGUGGCUGGGGGUGAAAGGCCAAUCAAACCGGGAGAUAGCUGGUUCUCCCCGAAAGCUAUUUAGGUAGCGCCUCGUGAAUUCAUCUCCGGGGGUAGAGCACUGUUUCGGCAAGGGGGUCAUCCCGACUUACCAACCCGAUGCAAACUGCGAAUACCGGAGAAUGUUAUCACGGGAGACACACGGCGGGUGCUAACGUCCGUCGUGAAGAGGGAAACAACCCAGACCGCCAGCUAAGGUCCCAAAGUCAUGGUUAAGUGGGAAACGAUGUGGGAAGGCCCAGACAGCCAGGAUGUUGGCUUAGAAGCAGCCAUCAUUUAAAGAAAGCGUAAUAGCUCACUGGUCGAGUCGGCCUGCGCGGAAGAUGUAACGGGGCUAAACCAUGCACCGAAGCUGCGGCAGCGACGCUGAUGCGUUGUUGGGUAGGGGAGGAGCGUUCUGUAAGCCUGUGAAGGUGUGCUGUGAGGCAUGCUGGAGGUAUCAGAAGUGCGAAUGCUGACAUAAGUAACGAUAAAGCGGGUGAAAAGCCCGCUCGCCGGAAGACCAAGGGUUCCUGUCCAACGUUAAUCGGGGCAGGGUGAGUCGACCCCUAAGGCGAGGCCGAAAGGCGUAGUCGAUGGGAAACAGGUUAAUAUUCCUGUACUUGGUGUUACUGCGAAGGGGGGACGGAGAAGGCUAUGUUGGCCGGGCGACGGUUGUCCCGGUUUAAGCGUGUAGGCUGGUUUUCCAGGCAAAUCCGGAAAAUCAAGGCUGAGGCGUGAUGACGAGGCACUACGGUGCUGAAGCAACAAAUGCCCUGCUUCCAGGAAAAGCCUCUAAGCAUCAGGUAACAUCAAAUCGUACCCCAAACCGACACAGGUGGUCAGGUAGAGAAUACCAAGGCGCUUGAGAGAACUCGGGUGAAGGAACUAGGCAAAAUGGUGCCGUAACUUCGGGAGAAGGCACGCUGAUAUGUAGGUGAGGUCCCUCGCGGAUGGAGCUGAAAUCAGUCGAAGAUACCAGCUGGCUGCAACUGUUUAUUAAAAACACAGCACUGUGCAAACACGAAAGUGGACGUAUACGGUGUGACGCCUGCCCGGUGCCGGAAGGUUAAUUGAUGGGGUCAGCGCAAGCGAAGCUCUUGAUCGAAGCCCCGGUAAACGGCGGCCGUAACUAUAACGGUCCUAAGGUAGCGAAAUUCCUUGUCGGGUAAGUUCCGACCUGCACGAAUGGCGUAAUGAUGGCCAGGCUGUCUCCACCCGAGACUCAGUGAAAUUGAACUCGCUGUGAAGAUGCAGUGUACCCGCGGCAAGACGGAAAGACCCCGUGAACCUUUACUAUAGCUUGACACUGAACAUUGAGCCUUGAUGUGUAGGAUAGGUGGGAGGCUUUGAAGUGUGGACGCCAGUCUGCAUGGAGCCGACCUUGAAAUACCACCCUUUAAUGUUUGAUGUUCUAACGUUGACCCCUAAUCGGGGUUGCGGACAGUGUCUGGUGGGUAGUUUGACUGGGGCGGUCUCCUCCUAAAGAGUAACGGAGGAGCACGAAGGUUGGCUAAUCCUGGUCGGACAUCAGGAGGUUAGUGCAAUGGCAUAAGCCAGCUUGACUGCGAGCGUGACGGCGCGAGCAGGUGCGAAAGCAGGUCAUAGUGAUCCGGUGGUUCUGAAUGGAAGGGCCAUCGCUCAACGGAUAAAAGGUACUCCGGGGAUAACAGGCUGAUACCGCCCAAGAGUUCAUAUCGACGGCGGUGUUUGGCACCUCGAUGUCGGCUCAUCACAUCCUGGGGCUGAAGUAGGUCCCAAGGGUAUGGCUGUUCGCCAUUUAAAGUGGUACGCGAGCUGGGUUUAGAACGUCGUGAGACAGUUCGGUCCCUAUCUGCCGUGGGCGCUGGAGAACUGAGGGGGGCUGCUCCUAGUACGAGAGGACCGGAGUGGACGCAUCACUGGUGUUCGGGUUGUCAUGCCAAUGGCACUGCCCGGUAGCUAAAUGCGGAAGAGAUAAGUGCUGAAAGCAUCUAAGCACGAAACUUGCCCCGAGAUGAGUUCUCCCUGACCCUUUAAGGGUCCUGAAGGAACGUUGAAGACGACGACGUUGAUAGGCCGGGUGUGUAAGCGCAGCGAUGCGUUGAGCUAACCGGUACUAAUGAACCGUGAGGCUUAACCUU